CCCUUAGAUGUUCUGGGCCGCACGCGCGCUACAAUGAUGAAUUCAACGAGUUUAUAACCUUGGUUGAAAAGCCUGGGUAAUCUUUUGAACUUUCGUCGUGAUGGGGCUAGACCCUUGCAAUUAUUGGUCUCCAACGAGGAAUUCCUAGUAAACGCAAGUCAUCAGCUUGCAUUGAUUACGUCCCUGCCCUUUGUACACACCGCCCGUCGCACCUACCGAUUUUGAGUGGUCCGGUGAACCUUCUGGAUUGUGCGGCUUGCCGCGCGAGAAGUUAUGUAAACCUUAUCACUUAGAGGAAGGAGAAGUCGUAACA
rnacentral:rRNA from 1 species